rnacentral:rRNA from 1 species
UUUCCUACGGGGGGCAGCAGUAGGGAAUAUUGCUCAAUGGGGGAAACCCUGAAGCAGCAACGCCGCGUGGAGGAUGAAGGUUUUCGGAUUGUAAACUCCUUUUGUUAGAGAAGAUAAUGACGGUAUCUAACGAAUAAGCACCGGCUAACUCCGUGCCAGCAGCCGCGGUAAUACGUAGGUGGCAAGCGUUGUCCGGAUUUACUGGGUGUAAAGGGCGUGUAGCCGGGUUGACAAGUCAGAUGUGAAAUCCUGCGGCUUAACCGCAGAACUGCAUUUGAAACUGUUGAUCUUGAGUACUGGAGAGG